rnacentral:rRNA from 1 species
CCUACGGGAGGCAGCAGUGGGGAAUAUUGCGCAAUGGGCGAAAGCCUGACGCAGCGACGCCGCGUGAGGGAUGAAGGUCUUCGGAUCGUAAACCUCUGUCAGCAGGGAAGAACGGUCACUGUGCUAAUCAGCAGUGAAUUGACGGUACCUGCAAAGGAAGCACCGGCUAACUCCGUGCCAGCAGCCGCGGUAAUACGGAGGGUGCGAGCGUUAAUCGGAAUUACUGGGCGUAAAGCGCUCGUAGGCGGUAUGUCAAGUCAAGGGUGAAAUCCCCGCGCUCAACGGGGGAACUGCCUUUGAAACUGGCAAACUGGAGUGUGUGAGAGGAUAGUGGAAUUCCAGGUGUAGGAGUGAAAUCCGUAGAUAUCAGGAGGAACAUCAGUGGCGAAGGCGACUAUCUGGAACAUAACUGACGCUGAGGAGCGAAAGCGUGGGUAGCAAACAGGAUUAGAUACCCUAGUAGUC